rnacentral:lncRNA from 1 species
UGUAAACAACAAUUACCAUGAACACUAGCAGAGAAAAGGCACAGUGACUGCUGAUGGGGUGGGGUGGGGGGAGGAGUCUGGCAUACUUUUUGUUGUUGUCAUUGUUGUUGUUGCUUUUUUUCCCUUUUACAUUCUUUUACUGUUUCCAUCAAGACUGUCUUAAAUUGGGGUGCGCUCUGUCAGCACUGACAUCCGGGUGGAUUACAGGUAGCCAGAGGUUCCCUUUCCCACAGGAUGAACUUUCUCUACAGUGCUCGGGAGCUGUUUACACUGUUGUAAAUAGCACCUGCACCUUUUACUGUGUAAUGGGGUUCAUUUUGUCCCCGGGGCACUGACCUUGCUAGUAAAGAGAGAAAAGAGGAAAGUGAAAGGGUGUUUGUUGAUGU